rnacentral:rRNA from 1 species
UGGGGAAUUUUGGACAAUGGGCGCAAGCCUGAUCCAGCCAUGCCGCGUGCGGGAAGAAGGCCUUCGGGUUGUAAACCGCUUUUGUCAGGGAAGAAAUCUUCUGAGUUAAUACCUCGGGAGGAUGACGGUACCUGAAGAAUAAGCACCGGCUAACUACGUGCCAGCAGCCGCGGUAAUACGUAGGGUGCAAGCGUUAAUCGGAAUUACUGGGCGUAAAGCGUGCGCAGGCGGUUUUGUAAGACAGAGGUGAAAUCCCCGGGCUCAACCUGGGAACUGCCUUUGUGACUGCAAGGCUUGAGUGCGGCAGAGGGGGAUGGAAUUCCGCGUGUAGCAGUGAAAUGCGUAGGUAUGCGGAGGAACACCGAUGGCGAAGGCAAUCCCCUGGGCCUGCACUGACGCUCAUGCACGAAAGCGUGGGGAGCAAACAGGAUUAGAUACCCUGGUAGUCCACGCCCUAAACGAUGUCAACUGGUUGUUAGGAAGGUUCCUUCUCAGUAACGUAGCUAACGCGUGAAGUUGACCGCCUGGGGAGUACGGCCGCAAGGUUGAAACUUAAAUGAAUUGACGGGGUCAUAGCUG